GGCGCAGGCGGGAAGGAAAGUCAGACGUGAAAGCCCGGGGCUCAACCUCGGAAUUGCAUUUGAUACUUCCUUUCUUGAGGGUAGGCGGAGAAAACAGAAUUCCACAAGUAGCGGUGAAAUGCGUAGAUAUGUGGAAGAAUACCGGUGGCGAAGGCGGUUUUCUAGCUUAUACCUGACGCUGAGGCCCGAAAGCUAGGGGAGCGAACA
rnacentral:rRNA from 1 species